UACAGAGGGUGCGAGCGUUAAUCGGAGUAACUGGGCGUAAAGGGCACGUAGGCGGUGAUGUUAGUCUGAUGUGAAAGACCUGGGCUUAACCUGGGAUGUGCAUUGGAGACGGCAUAGCUAGAGUUUGGGAGAGGGAAGUGGAAUUUCCGGUGUAGCGGUGAAAUGCGUAGAGAUCGGAAAGAACACUCGUGGCGAAGGCGGCUUUCUGGCCCAAAACUGACGCUGAGGUGCGAAAGCGUGGGUAGCAAAC
rnacentral:rRNA from 1 species